UAAAAAAUUUAUUUUUUUAGGGAUCACUGCUAUGUUGAAACCAAAACAUGAGUUAAGAUUGGCAUGGGCUUGGUGUGAUUCACUGAGUUGUUAAAGCACAUUUUAAAGGGUCCUGCAUAAUGUCAGGUGCUAGGUUGCUCUGGCAUUAUUUCUUGCAUAAAAAUCCAUGUCACUGGAAUGAUUAAAGCACUUUAACAAUCAUUGCUAGGGUGUACAGAUUAAUAAUCAUAAAGAACAAAACAAAUACAAAGUUCCA